AUGACCUUACUUGAACAGGAUCUGUUCUAUAAGCUCGUACCUCUGUAUCCUUGAUUUCUAAGGAGGCAGGUGACCAAGUCUGGUGGAUGAACCAUGACUGCAUGACCAGAGCGUGAUUAACAGCCCUGUGACCUUGUUUGGCCAUAUGAGCCGUAGAGGAUCGUUCUUGGCCAGAUUCUGGUUGGGGUGGUCAUGCAGUUGUCUGACAGACC
rfam:Daucus carota subsp. sativus cultivar DH1 chromosome 5, whole genome shotgun sequence.